rnacentral:rRNA from 1 species
UACGUAGGGUGCAAGCGUUGUCCGGAAUUAUUGGGCGUAAAGAGCUCGUAGGCGGUCUGUCGCGUCGGCUGUGAAAUCCCGGGGCUCAACCCCGGGCCUGCAGUCGAUACGGGCAGACUAGAGUGCGGUAGGGGAGACUGGAAUUCCUGGUGUAGCGGUGAAAUGCGCAGAUAUCAGGAGGAACACCCGUGGCUAAGGCGGCUCUCUAGUACGUGACUGACGCUGAGACGCGAAAGCGUGGGGAGCGAACAGG